rnacentral:sRNA from 1 species
CAAGAAAAAUUAUGGAAAUUUCAAGGAAUCAAGCAAGAUAAGGUGGUGAGCUAUUUGAUAAGGAUAAAGAGAUUACACCAAAGACCGUGACUAGGAGUAUUUCUACCCCUGAUACUAGGAGGUUCUAUGGACCAGCCUAAGAAAGGGGGCACAGAAUCAGAUAUACCUUACCUCGAUCGGAGAGCCGUGUGGAGGGUGUCUCUGAAGGUAAAGAUUUGAGUGCACUUCACGUGGACCACCGCGUGAGAGUGAGACUCAGCCAACGCUAAGGCAUGGCUAGAUUUUCAAAUGUAAAAAUAUGUUCAUGUGUGUACUACACUAAACAGUCUUGGCGGUCUCGAUCAGAUGCCUAGGCUAAGGCAUCCCCGAGAAUGAUUUUGGCAGGAGCCAAGUCUUGUGAAAUACAUAAGCCAAGUUGACUAUUUGAGUAAAUUGAUUAUUGAUGUUAUGAAAAACAUACUGGAAUGGAAUAUCUUACUUGUCUCCAUUUACUCGACUUUAGAUGGUUUAGAUGGUAUCUGUUUAGUCACUGGGAUUUUAUAAUCUCACCACCCUCAAUUCCCCACAUUUCAGGUUUGGGAUAGUCGGUAAAUAGUCGAUUGCAUCAGGGACUUCAGUUAGCCUUGCAUUGACAAAAUUGUAGGUUCACAGACUUGCACCUUAUUGGUUA